rnacentral:rRNA from 1 species
UACGUAGGUGGCAAGCGUUGUCCGGAUUUAUUGGGCGUAAAGCGAGCGCAGGCGGUUCCUUAAGUCUGAUGUGAAAGCCCACGGCUCAACCGUGGAAGGUCAUUGGAAACUGGGGAACUUGAGUGCAGAAGAGGAGAGUGGAAUUCCAUGUGUAGCGGUGAAAUGCGUAGAUAUGUGGAGGAACACCAGUGGCGAAGGCGGCUUCCUGGUCUGUAACUGACACUGAGGCGCGAAAGCGUGGGGAGCAAACAGGAUUAGAUA